ensembl:lncRNA
AAACAAACAGAACCCUGGAAUAAAAGCAGUGUGCAGCAUCUGAAAAAGAGAAGAAAAGACUACCAUCAGGAGAAGCUAUCCACCUGUUCCUUGCAGAACAGACAAGAGCAGUUUCAGGAUGUUUUUUGUGUGUGCAUGCUCAUUUCUGGGUGGAAAAAUCACAUGCUGGGUGGGCAUAUCGAGCCCCAGAAACACAUGGCAUUAACUAGAAAGCAGUGCCUUCAGUAUUGAGAAAAAGGUAAGACACACACACACACACACACACACACACACACACACACACACACAAACUGACCAACCAUCAAUAACAACAGAUAAGAAAAAACAACUUCUGGGUUCUGUUACCUCCAGUGAUAAACUUGGCUGUUUGCCAGUCUUUUCUUGGCUUGGGGAAGUACAUUAUUCCAUCUUUACUUCAUUCCAUUGGACACUAUUUAGUGUUUGAGGAGACAUGGACAGAUAUGCAGGUCACAUUCUACCCUCCAGAAUCAAGAAGGCACUAAAUUGAGUUCUAAUGGUUCCGAUGACUCCUUGCAAGAAUGGCGCCCACUCCCUGUCACCAGACUUGGUUGUUAUGGUCCCUGACUUCUCUUCUGGCAUGGUAGGCCACUCAUGUCUUCUUUUUGUGGAUUUUCCCUUUGUUUCCAUUAUAUGGCACUCUCUUUGCUUUUCUUCCAUCUUUUUAGUUGUUCAUUCUCUGCCUACUUUGUCAUAUUCCUCAGGAUAUUUGGUAAACCUUCUUCUUCCUUCUUCUAUCUCCACUGGGCAGCCUCCAGCCCUCCCGUGGCUUCAAUUACUAUCAAUGCAGUGAUGACUCACAAAUAUUUAUUUCAACCUUGAUGUAAAAAGGGGGAUAAAAAUAUCUACCACAUCAGCCUGUUGAGAGCACUGAAGACAACAUUUAAAACUUGUCUGACACAUUUUCAGCACUCAGUGGAAACAUUAGCUAUUAUUAGUAUGUAGCUGAGACACCAUAAAGACAGCAUGUACAAAGCUCAGCUCUCUUCUCCUUCAAGUGUUUCUUUCCAUAGAUUCCUUCUCAGUAGAUCUUCUACUUGUCCUUUCAGUCCAUUUUCUUCAAAACUCCUUCAAGAACCCCAUCCUUCUUGAGUCAGGGGCCCCCUCUUAUGGGUUAUCAAAGCAUGCUGUAUUAUUUUUUUAUUUUUAAUGUUUAUUUAUUUUUGAGGGGUGGGGAGAGGCAGAGAGAGAGGGAGACACAGAAUCCAAAGCAGGCUCCAGGCUCCAAGAUGUCAGCACAGAGCCUGAUGCGGGCCCCAAAGCCAUGAACUAUAAGAUCAGGACCUGAGCUGAAGUUGGACGCUUAACCUACUGAGCCACCCAGGUGCCCCAAAGCAUGUUGUAUUAUUAAUGGCUGUAUCCUACUGCAUUGUAAUAGCCUAUUUACUUGGCUAUCUUCAUUGUGAGAGGGCAAAACCCUAUAGUUUAAUUCACUGUUUUCUCCCCCAACAAAUAUGCAUUGGGCCAUAAGUGAAUGAAACUGCACUAGUACAUAAAAUAAACCAUUAACUAGAAAUUCUUAACUUAUUCCU